rnacentral:rRNA from 1 species
UCCUACGGGAGGCAGCAGUGGGGAAUAUUGCACAAUGGGGGAAACCCUGAUGCAGCCAUGCCGCGUGUGUGAAGAAGGCCUUCGGGUUGUAAAGCACUUUCAGUAGGAAGGAAGGUAGUGUAGUUAACACCUGCACUAUUUGACGUUACCUACAGAAGAAGCACCGGCUAACUCCGUGCCAGCAGCCGCGGUAAUACGGAGGGUGCGAGCGUUAAUCGGAAUUACUGGGCGUAAAGCGCAUGCAGGCGGCCUGUUAAGUCAGAUGUGAAAGCCCGGGGCUUAACCUCGGAAUUGCAUUUGAAACUGGCAGGCUAGAGUCUUGUAGAGGGGGGUAGAAUUUCAGGUGUAGCGGUGAAAUGCGUAGAGAUCUGAAGGAAUACCAGUGGCGAAGGCGGCCCCCUGGACAAAGACUGACGCUCAGAUGCGAAAGCGUGGGGAGCAAACAGGAUUAGAUACCCUGGUAGUCCACGCCGUAAACGAUGUCUACUUGGAGGUUGUGGCCUUGAGCCGUGGCUUUCGGAGCUAACGCGUUAAGUAGACCGCCUGGGGAGUACGGUCGCAAGAUUAAAACUCAAAUGAAUUGACGGA